rnacentral:lncRNA from 1 species
UUCCCUUUGUCAUCUUUGUCAAGCUUUGUGGAGGUGCUCAUGGGAGUUUUAAUUGAUUUCAUAUUCGUCACUCUAAAUUUCUUCAGCAUUUCUUUGGUGUACUUCUCUUAGUUUAUGAAUAUUCCAUCCUCACAUUGUUUGAUUUAUAGACCAAGGAAGAACUUUACUUCUUCUAUCAUGCUCAUUUCAAAUUCUCACUGCAUUUCUUCUUCUUGAUUAUAGCCUUGAGCAACUUACCUUACCUUAUUUCUUACCACAUUUCCUAACUCAUCCAUCUUAUUCUUAAAUACCCAUUUUGUUCCAAUAAUUGGAUGGUU